GCGGGGAUGCCGGAGCGGUCAAACGGGACAGGCUUAGGACCUGUUGGCUUAGUGCCUACGUGGGUUCAAAUCCUACUCCCCGCA
rnacentral:tRNA from 1 species